AAAGUGGUGAUGACGGAUAUGAGUUGUACAAAUCUUUCCAUUUUCCAACUCGCGUUCCUAGAGCUAUUUACUCGAUUGCGGACAUUUCUGGAACACCUCUAACAGAGGAAGAAAUAGUGAAUUUUGAAAGAACUUCUUGUCAACCUCUUUCCGCUAUUAAUCUCUAUGAUCCAAAAUGGAAGAAGUUGCAUAAAUAUUUGGAUUUCAAUUCAAACAUCGAUUUGCUUGACACUGAUUUGCGUGACACUCUAUAUACUCUAUACUCUGAUAAAAUUUUACCAUCCGAAAAGAGAAAAAAACCUCUAAAAAAAUUCUUUAAAAAAGGGCAGAUGUAUAUAAACUUUCAAAGAAAGAGUUGUUUUUCAAUUUUUCUAUCCAAAUUGAAGCGAUUGUACCCGUAUAUAAUACCGUCGCUCCUUACCUGGACAGGGCAACAAACUCUACUUUUACCAUUUAUAGAGACUAAAAAGAGAAAAAAACCUCUAAAAAAAUUCUUUAAAAAAGGGCAGAUGUAUAGAAACUUUCAAAGAAAGAGUUGUUUUUCAAUUUUUCUAUCCAAAUUGAAGCGAUUGUACCCGUAUAUAAUACCGUCACUCCUUACCUGGACAGGGCAACAAACUCUACUUUUACCAUUUAUAGAGACUUUUUGGGAUCUAGUUGUAAUACUAAGGAAGAGUCCUAAAUGGAAAAAAUUUGUAUCUAUUUUUUCUCCUAGUAAUUUUUACAUGGAGCCAAGGCAAUUCUUCGGGAAAUUGCACAACGGAACCGUAUAAGUGAGAUUUCGAGUAAGUGUUUACAUAAUUUUGUUGUAGACGUGUACGAAGAUCUUUUUCACACAAAUAAUGAGCCACCAUUCCAUCUGAGAUCACUAAAUAUUGAGGAGUUCCUGUUUUCAAUCCUUUUACUUCUUCUUAUUACUGGAUAUUUAGUUUAUGCACAUCUUGUCUGUGUUUCUGGAUUCUCUAACGAGUUACAGACAGAGUUCGAACAGGUCAAAUCUUUGAUGAUUCCAUCCUACAUCAUUGAAUUGCGAAAACUUCUGGAUAGGUAUCUUACAUCAGAA
rnacentral:lncRNA from 1 species